rnacentral:tRNA from 1 species
GCCUUUGUUGUAAUGGUCAGCACGCUCGACAUGAAUUCGAGAGGUCCAUGGUUCGAGUCCUGGUAAAGGCA